rnacentral:lncRNA from 1 species
CCAGGGCUAUUAAGCUUUUAAUUGGAAAAUAGCAGAGGAAAUUUCAAGGUGACUAUAACGUGUUAGCAGUUAGUGCAGAGAAGAAAAGCCGAAGCGGGAAUGAAUGUAGAAAGCAUAUGGUCCAAAUCACAUUUAGGAGGAGCGGCCUGCUUCUACUAAGUCCCAGUAGCUUACACACUUAUGGGAAAAAUCAUCAAAGAAAUGGGAAAGGGAAGGGGGAGGAUUACAAGUAAAUGUAACCUCACUAGACUAGAUCCAUUGGUGCUCUCCUGUGGAUGGUGUGUUCUCAAACCGCAAUUAACUGAGUAGAAUUCUGGCAGAUAAUCGUGGAAGAGGAAAAAACAAUGUGCGUAUGUGGGUCUUUCUCGGCACACACAAUCGCUGGGUGUGUGUACAUGUAAAAGCUCAGGAUGCAGGUGCCCUUGCUGAGAAAGUGAGGACUCCAGAUCUGGGAGUCCUGGUAUGUGCUCCUCAUCCCAACUAAUACUCAAUCAAAACGGCAGUUUCCGAUUGUCCCGGAUGUAUAACACAUCAGCAAAUUCUCUGCUGGAUUCUCAUGGAAGGGGAGGUCAGGGUUCCUAUUUCACUGUUUUCAUCGCGACCACGAUGAUGUCAGUGCAGGCAGACGCUGGAAGCCUGAGCGUGAGGAACCCCUGUGAAAACAGAAAAACUUGUCCCCUCUUCCUGUGCGUGAACUACUCAGCUCUCACCUGGUCAGCUUCUCGACCUCGCUCUUCGGCCCGCUUCAAAUUGAAAGGAGUUGGGGGAAUGUCCAGCCAGGCAGUGGGGCAUCCAGCAAUCAAUUUCUUUAGAUGGCAAUAAUGUCUUGGUUCUCCCUCAGUUGGCUGGGGACAGACUCAUGCAAACCCCCCAUGAGAUCCCCGAAGCCGCCCUCCGGGGCGAGGGGUGGAAAAGACGGGUCGCAGCCUGAGGCCUGCUCCAGAUCCCCACGUGCCGA